rnacentral:rRNA from 1 species
CUUUUGUAUAAUGGGUCAGCGACUUAUAUUCUGUAGCAAGGUUAACCGUAUAGGGGAGCCGAAGGGAAACCGAGUCUUAACCGGGCGUUAAGUUGCAGGGUAUAGACCCGAAACCCGGUGAUCUAGCCAUGGGCAGGUUGAAGGUUGGGUAACACUAACUGGAGGACCGAACCGACUAAUGUUGAAAAAUUAGCGGAUGACCUGUGGCUGGGGGUGAAAGGCCAAUCAAACCGGGAGAUAGCUGGUUCUCCCCGAAAGCUAUUUAGGUAGCGCCUCGUGAAUUCAUCUCCGGGGGUAGAGCACUGUUUCGGCUAGGGGGCCAUCCCGGCUUACCAACCCGAUGCAAACUGCGAAUACCGGAGAAUGUUAUCACGGGAGACACACGGCGGGUGCUAACGUCCGUCGUGAAGAGGGAAACAACCCAGACCGCCAGCUAAGGUCCCAAAGUCAUGGUUAAGUGGGAAACGAUGUGGGAAGGCCCAGACAGCCAGGAUGUUGGCUUAGAAGCAGCCAUCAUUUAAAGAAAGCGUAAUAGCUCACUGGUCGAGUCGGCCUGCGCG